GACGAACGCUGGCGGCGUGCUUAACACAUGCAAGUCGAACGGCAAACGAGUGAGCUCGCUCUCUUCGGGUUAGUGACGGACGGGUGAGUAACACGUGAGCCAUCUUCCACUUAUUCUUGGGUAAGCGUUGGAAACGACGUCUACUAAUAGCUACGACGAGGGAGGGGAUACUCUCCGCGUGGUUCGGACUUCGGUUGGGGAUGGGAGGGGGGCCCAUCGUCUUGUUGGGGGGGUAACGGCUCCCCAAGGCGCCGACGGGUGGCGGGCCUGUGAGGGUGACCGGCCACACUGGGACUGAGAGAGGGCCCAGAGUCCUACGGGGGGCAGCGGUGGGAAAUAUGGCACAGUGGGCGCAAGCCUGAUGCGGCAACGCCGGGUGAGGGACGACGGCCUUCGGGUUGUAAACCGCUUUUAGCAGGGAAGAAGCGAAUGUGACGGUACCUGCAGAAAAAGCACCGGCUAACUACGUG
rnacentral:rRNA from 1 species